GCUCUCUUUGGCAAUGCAUAUACUAAAACUGAGAUGACAAAGAUGAGAUUAGCAUGGCCCCUGUGCAAGGAUGACAUGCACAUUUGUGAUAGGUUCAUAAUUUUG